rnacentral:rRNA from 1 species
AACCGUCCAGCGGGCGGCCUAUACAUGCAAGUCGGACGGGAUCCAUCGGAGAGCUUGCUCGAAGAUGGUGAGAGUGGAGCACGGGUGCGUAACGCGUGAGCAACCUACCUCUAUCAGGGGGAUAGCCUCUCGAAAGAGAGAUUAACACCGCAUAAUAUCAACAGUUCGCAUGUUCGGUUGAUUAAAUAUUUAUAGGAUAGAGAUGGGCUCGCGUGACAUUAGCUAGUUGGUAGGGUAACGGCUUACCAAGGCGACGAUGUCUAGGGGCUCUGAGAGGAGAAUCCCCCACACUGGUACUGAGACACGGACCAGACUCCUACGGGAGGCAGCAGUAAGGAAUAUUGGUCAAUGGGCGGAAGCCUGAACCAGCCAUGCCGCGUGCAGGAUGACUGCCCUAUGGGUUGUAAACUGCUUUUGUCCAGGAAUAAACCUAAAUACGUGUAUUUAGCUGAAUGUACUGGAAGAAUAAGGAUCGGCUAACUCCGUGCCAGCAGCCGCGGUAAUACGGAGGAUCCGAGCGUUAUCCGGAUUUAUUGGGUUUAAAGGGUGCGUAGGCGGCCUAUUAAGUCAGGGGUGAAAUACGGUGGCUCAACCAUCGCAGUGCCUUUGAUACUGAUGGGCUUGAAUCCAUUUGAAG